AUUGAACGCUGGCGGCAGGCCUAACACAUGCAAGUCGAACGAGUGGCGGACGGGUGAGUAAUGUCUGGGAAACUGCCCGAUGGAGGGGGAUAACUACUGGAAACGGUAGCUAAUACCGCAUACCAUCGGAUGUGCCCAUAUGGGAUUAGCUAGUAGGUGGGGUAACGGCUCACCUAGGCGACGAUCCCUAGCUGGUCUGAGAGGAUGACCAGCCACACUGGAACUGAGACACGGCCCAUACUCCUACGGGAGGCAGCAGUGGGGAAUAUUGCACAAUGGGCGCAAGCCUGAUGCAGCCAUGCCGCGUGUAUGAAGAAGGCCUUAGGGUUGUAAAGUACUUUCAGCGAGGAGGCGUUACCCGCAGAAGAAGCACCGGCUAACUCCGUGCCAGCAGCCGCGGUAAUUC
rnacentral:rRNA from 1 species